rnacentral:antisense_RNA from 1 species
UAUAGCCAAAGAUGACGACAGGGUUAAUAGUUGGGUUGGUAAUUACACGCACAUCGCCACCACCAGGAGCCCAUGUAUCGUAGAGACCACCAAAGAACAUCGCCUUGAAUACGAGCAGAAAUGCACCAAGACCCAGAAGAAUCAGGUGAUAGCCAAUGAUAUUGGUCAUUUGGUUCUUGUCUUUCCA